AAUGAAGAUGUCUUUUCAAGGAACCAUUUUCGAUCUCGAUAUCAGAGACCGUUAAAUUUAUUUCAUGCAGAGGUUAUCUGAUGUUGUCCGCUUCAAAUUUUGCUGUUGAUGUCACGUAGCGUGUUAAGCUAUCCAGGCAUUGUACCAUACCCACAUUGUGCCAUACCGUACUUCUUAAGUAAGAGGAGUAGUAACACAGCUGUGACUAGUCACAACUUAAUGCAACCUUAUUCUGUGAAAGUUUCAAAGAGCAAUAACUUGUACCAAUUCACAAUUUGUGCAUUAUUUAUUUGGCAGCAUUCUGAUUCGGUCUGGAACUGGAUUACAGCCAUUUUCGUAAUCUCAGAUAAAUCGCGCGACACGAAGAUGAACAAGACGCCAGAAAUCAAAAACCAAUAACCAAACCACCACGUUGGAUUGUUCCUUCAUAAUGAAAAGUAUCCGACAUGUACCUCCAUCCCUGCCGUGGUAAUUGCAUUUACAGAAAACAUAGAGAUGGUCGAUAGUGAAUACAGCAUUAAACAACAUGUAAUGAACUAAUAAA